rnacentral:snRNA from 1 species
AUACUUACCUGGUGUCGGGGCGUCUGUGAUCAAUGAGGCAGAGCCUUCAGGGCGAGGCGCGGCCAUUGCACAUCGGCCGUGUUGACCCCUGCCACUUUCUCAAACUGAGAUAGAUGGGACAUGCAAUUUUUGGUAGUGGGGGAGCAGCGUUCGCGCUAUCCCCCU